UGUUGUUGUUGUUGUUGGUUCUCAUUUAUAGUUGUUGGUUGAAGCUUGUCGGAAAUGGUGAGAACGAAGGCAGUUUGGUCGGAGAAGGUGAGGAGGACAAGAAGAAGGCAAUAAGUUUGGGUUUGGUUUGGAACUAAAACAAGGGGUCAAUGUAAAAAAUUAUUGAGUUUUUUUUGUUUGAUUUUCAACUUAUCUUGGUAGGUUUUUCAAUUUAUUUUCGAAUUUAUUUGUUGUUUAGUUUGGAUUUGAUCUAUUUGUGUCUUUGUUUGGUUUUGGGGUUUUAAUCAAUUACAUUGAUUUUGUUGAAAUUUUUUGGGGAUUUUGCAUUUUUGUGCCUAAUGUUAGUGUAAGAUGCUUUGGUAGUAGUUGUAUGCCUUCCAUGGCGUUUUUCAUAAAAAAAAAAAAAAAGAGUCGUAUAAUAACAAGAAACGAUAGAGAAGAAAUUUUUGGGAAAAAGAUCGGAAAAGAGGCCAAGAAAACCUCAAAUUCUAUCCAACAAUGGUGUUAGAUGCAAAUAGGAAGAUGAUG
rnacentral:lncRNA from 1 species